AGGGACCUGGUCUCAGAUAGUCUAUCUGGUGUACGUCUUGGCUUCCUGGAGAGCAGAAAUCUGCACAGCACCCAUACCCACAGCAAGAACAGCUACCUCAACCUGUGCAAAAUUAAAACUCGGACUUCAUACUGACAAGCAUCAAUUAAAUUUUGGUUUCCGACAUAAUGACAGAACCAAUUGACAUGCCAACAUGGAUGGGGGAAGAAUUCAUGAGUCUGAGAAGGAACAGGGGCACUGGAAGAGUUGUAAUGGAAAAGGAGUCCAGCUCCAAGCUCUUUCACCCUCUUGUGGAGUUCCUCCACGAGACUCUCCUGUCUCAGCCACCUGUUUGUCUCUCACUCUGUAGAUGUGUGUCUUUUCCUCUGACCAGGUUCUUUGAGCUGGGUGUGUGCUAGGUUUAUUUUGCUUUAGUGGUUCCCACAUGCCAUUCUCUCAGACAUGCACUGGGAUGCCACAUGUAUGAAUUCAGUCCAUUCUCUUCCAGCUCUCAGGAACCUCUCUCUCCAAAUACCAUUAUCUAUUUCCCUCAACUCUACAACUUGGAACUUGAUUAUGUACGGUUUUAUUUUACUAUGUAUAUUCUUAUACUUUUAAUUAAAAGAAAUAAUUAGAAAAAU